CCUACGGGGGGCAGCAGUGAGGAAUAUUGGUCAAUGGCCGUAAGGCUGAACCAGCCAAGUCGCGUGAAGGAAGAAGGAUCUAUGGUUUGUAAACUUCUUUUAUAGGGGAAUAAAGGUAUCCACGUGUGGAUAUUUGCAUGUACCCUAUGAAUAAGCAUCGGCUAACUCCGUGCCAGCAGCCGCGGUAAUACGGAGGCUGCGAGCGUUAUCCGGAUUUAUUGGGUUUAAAGGGUGCGUAGGUUGUUGUUUAAGUCAGGGGUGAAAGUUUGUGGCUCAACCAUAGAAUUGCCGUUGAAACUGGAAGGCUUGAGUGUGUGUGAGGUAGGCGGAAUGCGUGGUGUAGCGGUGAAAUGCAUAGAUAUCACGCAGAACACCGAUUGCGAAGGCAGCUUACUGGGCCAUAACUGACACUGAGGCACGAAAGCGUGGGGAUCAAACAGGAUUAGAUACCCGGGUAGUC
rnacentral:rRNA from 1 species